GUUAUAGUGGAUGGGUGGCUGAGUGAACGAUGGAGGCAUUAGAUUAAGGUGGGAUGUUAGAAGGGGUUGGUUAGAGGCGAGGGGUUUUGGUUUAAACCCUAUCUUCAUCAAAGUCUCCAUUGACAAGGUUUUCUUAGGAUCGUGGGAAGGCACCGGCUUGAUUUUACACAUAUCGGAGACAGAGUUAAAUUAAGAGGAUCCUGGAGUUUUGAUAUAUACAGUUUUUGGAUAUGAGAUUUAAUAAUUUGAAAUUGUGACAUUUUGUGACUUUAUAAUUGUGAUAAAUGUGUUUUUAAA